UUAAGUCCCGUAACGAGCGCAACCCUUGUCCUUAGUUACCAGGCACGUUAUGGUGGGCACUGUAAGGAGACUGCCGGUGGACAAACCGGAGGAAGGUAGGGGAUGACGUCAAGUCCAUCAUGGCCCUUACGGCCAGGGCUACACACGUGCUACAAUGGUCGGUACAAAGGGUUGCCAAGCCGCGAGGUGGAGCUAAUCCCAUAAAACCGAUCGUAGUCCGGAUCGCAGUCUGCAACUCGACUGCGUGAAGUCGGAAUCGCUAGUAAUCGUGAAUCAGAAUGUCACGGUGAAUACGUUCCCGGGCCUU
rnacentral:rRNA from 1 species